GUUAGCUAGCUACAGUCAGCGCGUCUAGGGAAAACUCCUCCAACGGCUCUGGUUACAGCAACUACAGUUUAGUUGCUUUUUUAUGGCUCAGUUUUACCGUUAAAUAUGCCCAUUUCCUUCUCUAAGACUGGAGAACGGAUUCAUUCUGAGCGGGUCAAGGCCUCAGCAGGUGCUCUCAGGUUCAAGCUAGCCUAACACUGGCAGUUCUUACUCCAAAGGGACCGGCGGAUUCAGGAGUUCGGUCUACAACCAUCACACAAACUUCUCCUGAAGUUGUGCCAGAGGGAAACUAUCAGUGAGGAUCAGUGUUUGGGAUGUGAUGGAGACAGUUAAAUACAUUUUUAUCUGAAGGAAAAGGGAAAACUUAGAGAAGCAGAGCAUUAUAGUGAAGAAGAGAGAUGAUGACCUCAGAGUUUGGGUUGUCCUGAAGAGGAGCUCAAUUCACUGCAUAAGAUGACACAAGUGAAAUAUGGGUAAAAUCUAACCAUCAAAUUGGCAACUACAGCUGAUAAUACUUGGUUGUAGAAAAUCAGUAAAAGCAUUUUUUUGAUCCAACAUAAAGCCACACACCUUCAGUGCCUUCGUGUGGAAUAAGUCAUUUUAUUUGAACUUGUGAAUGUUGUCCGCCACAGGUUUGACGACACAGACCCACUCAAGAUUGGUCGAACAUUGAGAACUUCAGUUCAUGAAGAGGCUUUAAGAGCUACCUCCUAUGACUGCUGCUAACAAUGAACUCCAGACAAUAAAACAGCCCUUUCAGGGUUUUUGUUUUGCCAUGUCUUCCAUGAA